rnacentral:misc_RNA from 1 species
GAUGAAGAACGUAGCGAAAUGCGAUACGUAAUGUGAAUUGCAAAUUCAGUGAAUCAUCGAGUCUUUGAACGCACAUUGCGCCCCCUGGUAUUCCGGGGGGCAUGCCUGUCCGAGCGUCAUUGCUGCCCUCAAGCACGGCUUGUGUGUUGGGCCCCGUCCUCCGAUCCCGGGGGACGGGCCCGAAAGGCAGCGGCGGCACCGCGUCCGGUCCUCGAGCGUAUGGGGCUUUGUCACCCGCUCUGUAGGCCCGGCCGGCGCUUGCCGAUCAACCCAAAUUUUUAUCCAGGUUGACCUCGGAUCAGGUAGGGAUACCCGCUGAACUUAAGCAUAUCAAUAAGCGGAGA